rnacentral:lncRNA from 1 species
GCGUCUACACAUUUUAUCAAAUGCAAAUAAAAAGCGUAAAGCUUAUGAAAUAAUUCUACCAUUUUGAGCUUCGUGAUAAAAAGCGUAAAGCUUAUGAAUUUUAGUAAAUCCACCAUUUUGAGCUUCUUAUGAAUUUUAGUAAAUCCACACUUUUUACCGAGAAGAAGAAUUAAAUCUCUAUAUUCUCUACCUUCUUCGCCAAAUCAAUAACGGAAACUCACCUGUCACUGCAAACAAAAUAAGAAGGCUGAACACGAUACAGCGUGAUAAAAUAAGUUUCAGUGUUUUUAGGAAUUGUGAGGAUGAAAGUUCAGGGGAUGAAGACUGACCUUUUAUAGGUGGAUAUACACCGUCUCGAAGAGAAAUACGGAGAAUUUAAUGAUAAAAUUGUGCUUGUUGUGGGUUGAAGGAGUAAAGAUAGUUCUUAAUGGAGAUGAAUUGAUGAAUCCGGUAACGUUUGGACGAGAAGAAUAUCAG